UACGGAGGGAGCUAGCGUUGUUCGGAAUUACUGGGCGUAAAGCGCGCGUAGGCGGCUUUGUAAGUUAGAGGUGAAAGCCCGGGGCUCAACCCCGGAAUUGCCUUUAAGACUGCAUCGCUUGAAUCCGGGAGAGGUGGGUGGAAUUCCGAGUGUAGAGGUGAAAUUCGUAGAUAUUCGGAAGAACACCAGUGGCGAAGGCGGCUCACUGGACCGGCAUUGACGCUGAGGUGCGAAAGCGUGGGGAGCAAACAGG
rnacentral:rRNA from 1 species